rnacentral:lncRNA from 1 species
CCGCCGGCCGGUGCCACGUGUAACGCCGCGGGGGAAUCCCCGGGGACACAGGGCUGGCUGGAUUCGCCUCUCGGCCACAGCUCUGCGCUCCACGAGCUGCUCCUGCCCGGUCCCCGCAGGACUCGAACCCGCGACACCUCUGCCGCGCCCUAGCCCUCGCGCCCCGCCGGAGUCACCCCCUGACACUGCCAGGAUCCCCGCCCGGCUGCGGGCACCACGUCCCCCGGGCCUUCGCGGGGCCCCGAGGGCCAAGACCGAGGACGCGCCGAGCCGAGGCUGCCUGGGGACCUGGUCCAUCCGGUUCUGAUGGGGUCCGCAGGGAAAAGGCACUAUCCCGGAAAGCUUCCUGGAGGAGGGGAGCGCGAAGGACGAAACUGGGCCUCCCUCUAGGCGGAGCUUAGUGUUUAAAGCUGGCCGGCCUUUCUCCUUUUCAUAGUAAUUAUUCUCUCACUAAGCUCAGGAAGCACGCCCUCCACCAUCUCAUUAAGCGAACCGGCUGUGGCUGACUCUUCCCUCCUCUAACAACUGUGGCUCCUCAUAGCCGGCACAAUGACGUCCAAAGCUGUCGGCUCCCGCACGGGUUCCUCCCUUUGAGGCUUGUCUUUCGCACUCCUUCCACCUGCUCGGAGAACUGCGCCCAGGAGGCUGAGCAAGGCUGAUCUUCUACCUGGAAAAGUGGAAGAAGUGAGAGGUCACGAGUCACUUGGACAUCACUGUACCACCUAAGGCCCAAUGGAGAAUGAGUAUGUGAAAAUGAAAUAUUGAAGGAGCAAGGAACAAUACAAAGUCUUUCUGGAUUUAUUGCCUCUUUCCUAAGUAGUGCUUGAACUUCCCAUAUUGCUAUAAAUUCAUGUCAUUUGUCUCACUUCUCCCAUUCAAUGGUACAUUCUCUAAAGUGAUUGGUUAAUGCUAUGGUUUGAAUAUGGUUUGUCCCCACCAAAACUCAUAUUGAGGCUUCAUCCCUAAUGUGGCAGUGUUGGGAAGUGGUGCCUGUAAGUAGUCAUUGGGUCAUUAAGAUGAAUUAAUGUCUUUCUCUUGAGACUGAGUUAAUUCUAAUGGGAUAGAUUAGUUCUUGUGGGAAUAGAUCAGUU